rnacentral:misc_RNA from 1 species
UGGUUCUGGCAUCGAUGAAGAACGCAGCGAAAUGCGAUAAGUAAUGCGAAUUGCAGAAUUCCGUGAGUCAUCGAAUCUUUGAACGCACAUUGCGCCCUUUGGUAUUCCGAAGGGCAUGCCUGUUCGAGCGUCAUUAUCAACCCUCAAGUUUAACUUGAUGUUGAAGAUGGUAAUAUAUCACCUCUUCGAAAGACAAUGACGGUGUUUUUAAGACUCUCGAUACAACGAGCUUUAACCAGCACGUAUCGAAGUAGGACUUUGAAACCCGGUCGACUUUUUUACUUCUAAGGUUGACCUCGGAUCAGGUAGGGAUACCCGCUGA